GACACACAUGUGUAUCUCAAUAAGACCUACAAAAAAGUCAGCACGGGCGUAUCUGUCAAAUGUACCGUUAAAGGGCUAUUUCGCAUUUUUUGCCGAUCCGCACACAUUGGAACUUCGCUAACUCCUCCGAAGGCUUUCGUUCCACUGGCACCAAAUUUGCUCAGGCCAAUCUACACCCCAUGGCCAUCAAAAGUUGUACAAAUCAUGACGCUGCACCCCACGGUUUAGGUUCUAGGGGGCGCCAAAGAUAACCCAAAAAUCCACAUUCUUAAAAGUCUUAUAACUUUUUAUUUUUGUCCUCACUGGCCUCCAAGUUUUCUAGGAUGAUGCAAUGUCCAGCCAUCAACACAUUUGUGAAGGAAUUUUUACUCCCCAAAAGAGCGCCCCCCCAUGGCAGGUGAAAAAAGUCCAUUUUUUCUUGUCCCCUAACAUUAAAAUAAACAUUGUAGAGUGUCACGCCUGAACGCUUUGUCAUAUUGACACAAAAUUUGACAAUCACGUGUAUCUCAAUAAGAUCUACGAAAAAGUCAAAGAGCGCGUAUCUGCAUAAUGUACGGUUAAAGGGCUAUUUCGCAUUUUUUGCCGAUCCGCACACAUUGGAAUUUCGCUAACUCCUCCGAAGGCUUUCGUUCCACCGGCACCAAAUUUGCUCAGGUUAAUCUACACCCCAUGGCCAUUAAAAGUUGUACAAAUCAUGACGCUGCACCCCACGGUUUAGGUUCUAGGGGGCGCCAAAGAUAACCCAAAAAUCCACAUUCUUAAAAGUCUUAUAACUUUUUAUUUUUGUCCUCACUGGCCUCCAAGUUUUCUAGGAUGAUGCAAUGUACAGCCAUCAACACAUUUGUUAAGGAAUUUUUACUCCCCAAAAGAGCGCCCCCCCAUGGCAGGUGAAAAAAGUCAAUUUUUUCUUGUCCCCUAACAUGAAAAUAAACAUUGUAGAGUGUCACGCCUGAACGCUUUGUCAUAUUGACACAGAAUUUGACAAUCACGUGUAUCUCAAUAAGAUCUACGAAAAAGUCAAUGCGCACGUAUCUGUCAAAUGUACGGUUAAAGGGCUAUUUCUCAUUUUUUGCAGAUCCGCACACACUGGAAUUUCGCUAACUCCUCCGAAGGCUUUCGUUCCACCGGCACCAAAUUUGCUCAGGUCAAUCUACACCCCAUGGCCAUUAAAAGUUGUACAAAUCAUGACGCUGCACCCCACGGUUUAGGUUCUAGGGGGCGCCAAAGAUAACCCAAAAAUCCACAUUCUUAAAAGUCUUAUGACUUUUUAUUUUUGUCCUCACUGGCCUCCAAGUUUUCUAGGAUGAUGCAAUGUCCAGCCAUCAACA